rnacentral:rRNA from 1 species
UACGUAGGGUGCGAGCGUUGUCCGGAAUUAUUGGGCGUAAAGGGCUCGUAGGCGGUCUGUCGCGUCGAAAGUGAAAACCCAGGGCUUAACCCUGGGCCUGCUUCCGAUACGGGCAGACUAGAGGUAUGCAGGGGAGAACGGAAUUCCUGGUGUAGCGGUGAAAUGCGCAGAUAUCAGGAGGAACACCGGUGGCGAAGGCGGUUCUCUGGGCAUUACCUGACGCUGAGACGCGAAAGCGUGGGGAGCGAACAGG